UACGGAGGGUGCAAGCGUUAUCCGGAUUCACUGGGUUUAAAGGGUGCGUAGGCGGACAGGUAAGUCAGUGGUGAAAUCUCUGGGCUUAACCCAGAAACUGCCGUUGAUACUAUUUGUCUUGAAUAUCCUGGAGGUAGGCGGAAUAUGUCAUGUAGCGGUGAAAUGCUUAGAUAUGACAUAGAACACCGAUAGCGAAGGCGGCUUACUACAGGAUGAUUGACGCUGAGGCACGAAAGCGUGGGGAGCAAACAGG
rnacentral:rRNA from 1 species